CCCUUAGAUGUUCUGGGCGGCCCGCGAACUACAAUGGCGCUUUCAGCGAGUUCCUAUGUUGAAUUUUCCUUGGUAUUCUUGGAAGCGGCGUCUUGACUUGGGAUAGAUCCUUGUAAUUGUUGGUUUUGAACGAGGAAUUCCUUGUAAUCGCGGUUGAUCAGCUCGCGUUGAAUACGUCCCUGCCCUUUGUACACACCGCCCGUCGCUCCUACCGAUGAAUCGUCCGGUGAAGUUCACAGAGUGGCGGUUCGUGGAGUUGCUCGCGAAGUGAAAUGGACCUCACGAUUUAGAGGAAGGAGAAGUCGUAACA
rnacentral:rRNA from 1 species